rnacentral:rRNA from 1 species
GAUGAACGCUGGCGGCGUGCUUAACACAUGCAAGUCGAACGGAAAGGCCCAAGUUUGCUUGGGUACUCGAGUGGCGAACGGGUGAGUAACACGUGGGUGAUCUGCCCUGCACUUCGGGAUAAGCCUGGGAAACUGGGUCUAAUACCGGAUAGGACCACCUUUUGGAUGGUGUGGUGGAGAGUUUUUCGGGGUGGGGUGAGCUCGCGGCCUAUCAGCUUGUUGGUGGGGUAAUGGCCUACCAAGGCGUCGUCGGGUAGCCGGCCUGGGAGGGUGUACGGCCACAUUGGGGCUUAGGAUCGGCCCAGACUCCUACGGGGGGGAAGAGUGGGGAAUAUUGGACAAUUGGGGCGAGCCUGAUGCAGCGACGCCGCGUGGGGGAUGACGGCCUUCGGGGUGUAAACUCCUUUCGCUAGGGACGAAGCGUUAUGUGACGGUACCUGGAGAAGAAGCACCGGCUAACUACGUG